rnacentral:lncRNA from 1 species
AUAAGGAUCCCAAAGCCCUAGAAGAUGAAGAGAAAUUAAAAUGGAAACAAUAAGAUAACACAGGAGACAGAAGAACAUGAAACCUAAUUCCAGAAAUACAGCAGUGAGGGAGAAAUGAUGAGGCUGACCCUGAGCAUCUCUCCUGUAAGCUGCAUCCAGUCCAUUGCUCCAGCAGGUUCAAGACUUCUCUCAGAAGGAAGAAAGGAGGAAGCCCACACUAAACAGCUCUUUUAUUUCCCACCCAGGUAUAUUCUUCUGGUUUUCUCCAUCAUAUCCCCAUGCCAAGUUCUUUUUUUUUUUCUCUCCAACCCUUCCUUCCAUCAUUUUCCUUUCCUUAUGAGUGUUGUUUUCUAUCAUUAAAUUGGAAGCUCCUUGAGGAUAAAAUCUCUUAUGCCUUUUAUGGUAUCCUUUGUUUAGAAUAGUGCCUGACAUGUAAUUACUUAAUGAAUGCUUAUUGAUUGACUAACUGAUAUUACCUGGGUUCAUAUUUUUCCAACAUCAUCUACUUCCUGUGUGUGUCUUUGAUUAAAUCACUUAAGAUCUCCAGACAUCUAUUUAUUCAUUAAUAAAAUUAAUAAAAGAGGGAAGUUUGACCUGAUG